rnacentral:rRNA from 1 species
UACGAAGGGGGCUAGCGUUGUUCGGAUUUACUGGGCGUAAAGCGCGCGUAGGCGGAUCGUUAAGUCGGGGGUGAAAUCCUGGAGCUCAACUCCAGAACUGCCUUCGAUACUGGCGAUCUUGAGUCCGGAAGAGGUGAGUGGAACUCCUAGUGUAGAGGUGGAAUUCGUAGAUAUUAGGAAGAACACCAGUGGCGAAGGCGGCUCACUGGUCCGGUACUGACGCUGAGGUGCGAAAGCGUGGGGAGCAAACAGG